rnacentral:ribozyme from 1 species
AAUUUGCUGCAAUGCGAAUAAUAAACCUCCAGUAAUGUAUGAUGUGGCCUUUACGGCCCCCUUUGAAUAAAAGAAAAAAAAAGAAGAAGAAAUUUGAUGUUUCCUUUCUUUGUUG